UUUUAUGGAGAGUUUGAUCCUGGCUCAGGAUGAACGCUGGCGGCGUGCCUAAUACAUGCAAGUCGAGCGAACAGACAAGGAGCUUGCUCCUUUGACGUUAGCGGCGGACGGGUGAGUAACACGUGGGUAACCUACCUAUAAGACUGGGAUAACUUCGGGAAACCGGAGCUAAUACCGGAUAAUAUUUCGAACCGCAUGGUUCGAUAGUGAAAGAUGGUUUUGCUAUCACUUAUAGAUGGACCCGCGCCGUAUUAGCUAGUUGGUAAGGUAACGGCUUACCAAGGCGACGAUACGUAGCCGACCUGAGAGGGUGAUCGGCCACACUGGAACUGAGACACGGUCCAGACUCCUACGGGAGGCAGCAGUAGGGAAUCUUCCGCAAUGGGCUAAAGCCUGACGGAGCAACGCCGCGUGAGUGAUGAAGGUCUUCGGAUCGUAAAACUCUGUUAUUAGGGAAGAACAUACGUGUAAGUAACUAUGCACGUCUUGACGGUACCUAAUCAGAAAGCCACGGCUAACUACGUGCCAGCAGCCGCGGUAAUACGUAGGUGGCAAGCGUUAUCCGGAAUUAUUGGGCGUAAAGCGCGCGUAGGCGGUUUUUUAAGUCUGAUGUGAAAGCCCACGGCUCAACCGUGGAGGGUCAUUGGAAACUGGAAAACUUGAGUGCAGAAGAGGAAAGUGGAAUUCCAUGUGUAGCGGUGAAAUGCGCAGAGAUAUGGAGGAACACCAGUGGCGAAGGCGACUUUCUGGUCUGUAACUGACGCUGAUGUGCGAAAGCGUGGGGAUCAAACAGGAUUAGAUACCCUGGUAGUCCACGCCGUAAACGAUGAGUGCUAAGUGUUAGGGGGUUUCCGCCCCUUAGUGCUGCAGCUAACGCAUUAAGCACUCCGCCUGGGGAGUACGACCGCAAGGUUGAAACUCAAAGGAAUUGACGGGGACCCGCACAAGCGGUGGAGCAUGUGGUUUAAUUCGAAGCAACGCGAAGAACCUUACCAAAUCUUGACAUCCUUUGACAACUCUAGAGAUAGAGCUUUCCCCUUCGGGGGACAAAGUGACAGGUGGUGCAUGGUUGUCGUCAGCUCGUGUCGUGAGAUGUUGGGUUAAGUCCCGCAACGAGCGCAACCCUUAAGCUUAGUUGCCAUCAUUAAGUUGGGCACUCUAAGUUGACUGCCGGUGACAAACCGGAGGAAGGUGGGGAUGACGUCAAAUCAUCAUGCCCCUUAUGAUUUGGGCUACACACGUGCUACAAUGGACAAUACAAAGGGCAGCGAAACCGCGAGGUCAAGCAAAUCCCAUAAAGUUGUUCUCAGUUCGGAUUGUAGUCUGCAACUCGACUACAUGAAGCUGGAAUCGCUAGUAAUCGUAGAUCAGCAUGCUACGGUGAAUACGUUCCCGGGUCUUGUACACACCGCCCGUCACACCACGAGAGUUUGUAACACCCGAAGCCGGUGGAGUAACCAUUUGGAGCUAGCCGUCGAAGGUGGGACAAAUGAUUGGGGUGAAGUCGUAACAAGGUAGCCGUAUCGGAAGGUGCGGCUGGAUCACCUCCUUUCUAA
rnacentral:rRNA from 1 species